UUUUAUAUUUUGUAUGACACUUAUGACAGCUAAGCUAACUACAAGCUACUGUACAAGUAGCCAAAGACGCACGUAACCGAAGUCACAGUUACAGCAAAUAUGAAUACGGAAUAUAAAGAAUGUGACGCGGCCGACGAGGUGCAAAGGAUUAGGCAGAAAUAUGAGGUGGGGAGGAACCAGGUUGAAACAAAAAUGCUGAGACAAGCGGCAGAUUUUCCCCCGGGAGCCACAGAUGAUGCACAACGGCACGUGUUGACUCACAGAACCAAGCAGAGCCGGGACUUGAAAUGCUACAGCACAGCUUUGCGUGAGCUGUUCACAGCAGUGGCCAACAAUCCUGACCAGUUUGAUUGUGAUCGUCGGCUACAUGGCAGUAAUGAGGAUCUGAGUGGAGACUUUAUGACUCAUCCGCUACAGGAGUCCCAGGCGCUGUUUACAGAAACAGAUGUGACACUGCCGUCCUGUCUGGAUGGUAGUCCUGGGUCCCAUGAAGCUGAGGCUGAGGCUGAUGGGGGGUGUCACUGGGCUCCGCAAAUCCCUGACUCAUGCCGUUCCGCGUCUUUAGUACUAGCACAGGUAUACCAGGAAAUGAUGAGCAUCUACAAACAACUGAAGGCAGAGCGACAAAGCCAGCAGCAGUGGGAGAGAGAACUGUUUGAGCGAGAAAGGAGGCUGAAACAACGGGAGGAGGCUGUGGGGAUGGAGGCCGAUCUGGAGGAUAUGAUACACGCUCGCAUUCUGGCUGUGGAGGAGAAACACCAGCAGGAGCUGAGUGAGCUUCAGGACCUUCUGCGAGAAAGGAGCAAAGAGAACAAGAGGCUCAAAUCCAGCUUUGAUAACAUCAAGGAGUUGAACGACAACAUGAGAAAACAGCUGAAUGAGAUCAGUGAGCAGAAUAAGAAGUUGGAGAGCCAGUCCAAAAGGGUGCAGGCUCGGCUUGAGAAUCUACAGAGGAAGUAUGAACACAGCACAGCAUCAAGAGGAUGUCAGAGAGGAAACGCCAGGAGCCCGGAGUGCAUUAAACAAUCGAAAAAAGCAGCCGCUCCUGGAAAACUCGUCCAUAAGGGCAGCAUCAGUCCCACCACACUAAGGCUCCUUGCUCUUCUCCUGGACUGGCUAACUGAUGCACAAGUGUUCUCAUCAGAAGCAAGAAAUGAGGGCAAAGCUGCACAGCAGCCCCUGGCUCCUCGGGUUGGUCUUAACGAAAGAUGCCUCAAGGUGCUGCCGCUGUUAGCGGAUCAGCUUCGUCACACUGAUUCACCAGAACCAGAGUUCAUCUUAAACCUCCUUCGCCUCAUUCAUUCCGCAUUGAGGCACCUGGACAGUACAACACAGCACGUAGCGCUGUCGGCCACACUGAGGCGAAUAGGGGAGGAAGUGUCCAAGCCUACGGCUCAGGGUAAAGAUCCGGGCUCGUCCAAGUCCAGCGGCGAGGCAGCGGGACACUUCAGGAGCUGGCCUCUUUACCGGAGCCCCUGUCCUCACACACGGAUCCUCUCCAUCCUCAUCAUUCUACACACUGUCACGCAAGCUGAUGUAGUGGUCCAGGCUCUGACCAGUCUUCAUACUGAGCUCAUGACUGUGGAGAGUCGAGGCCUGUUCCUUCAUCAUGGAGGUGUGCAUGUGCUGCUGUCGCUGAUCCGGACUGGACGUGGGGGUCUGCACACACCUAUAGACAUUCUGAUGCAGCUCAGUGAACAGUCACGCUACCUAAAUCCUUUUCUGGACGCGUGUAGCUGUGAGGACUUUUUCCGAACAACCUCCCAGCUUCUUAAACACUCUCGCCUGGAGCUCCCAUCGCUGGAGAAGAUCUCAAUGCUCCUACAGAAACUAUCCAGCAUCAGAAAGUGACGCAGGGAAACUCAGCAAACGGCGCCACGACUAAGUCUCUCCAUCGUCCUUCUGCUGCUUUUAUAACGCGUCCCUCCUCCGAUCAGAGUCUGACAGCGGACACAAGACAAUGUUUGAUGUCAAUUACUGUUUGGGGAAGAAAAGAAGAACUGGAGCUGAAGUGCAGCUGACUCCGAUGUGGCUGGAGGACCUGCAGAGGAUGCGUUCGCUGCCCGUCCGACACGCAAGCGCUGUCACGCCCUGCUUUUAUUGUUAUUAUUUUUUAAUUUGCAUCCAAGCAAAUGCAACACAAAUAACAGGCACUAUGUUAAUUUCAAGUGAGCUGCAAAUUCAAAUUCCGUUGUUGUUGCUACGCCUCAUGUUUCAUCCUUCCAAGUGCGCCACCGCCUUGAGAGGAGGUGAAGAUCUGUGUGUGGUCUGUGACGGGGUGGAAGAAUGAUGAAUGAAUGUGCAUCUCCGAGGCUCCUCCAAACACUGCAGAGCUGCUGGAUGUUAUAUUUUUGUUUGUUCAGAGUCCCUCGUUCCCUUUGAGCCUUUUAACCAACUAUCAGAGUAUCAAUAAAGUUUAUCUAUUACUUAUUGAUCCACCUGAUUUCCUAAUGAUGAUGGAUGGAAAGCAAUAUGUUGAAUCCACUUUUUCCAACUUCCCAUGUAAAUGUUAGACGCAAAGAUGAAUCUGAUUUUACAGUAAUCUCUGGAGUAGUGAGGAAGAGAAACCCACGCGGGCACACACACACACACACACACACACACACACACACACACACACACACACACACACACACACACACACACACACACACACACACGACGACCUGUAAUUACUGUUAUUAAGCACAUUUCUCAGGGAGCCUCACUGCGUUAGAGGAAGAAAGCACACAUCUAUGCUCUUCACCCUGACAUACUCUACUCAUCCUAACUUUAACAACGUCUAGUCGCCUAAAACUAAUUCUAAUCAAACCAGGAAGCGUUCAUCGUUUGACAUGCAGACAUGUUAUUGUUUUGAUUGAUGCUCCCUCGAGUUAAAUGCUUUUAACAGAUGAACUUUCAAGCAUCCUGUAAGUGUGUGUGUGUGAGUGAGUUUGCAUGUGUGUGUGUUUAGACAGGAAGAAGCUGCCGUUAUCUGAUAUGUGAGGUCAGAAUGUGUCUGUCUGGCUCCAAACCCCUGAUUUCACUCUUCCAUGUCGCAGACUUGAGUGAAAAACCCUCUGAUCUUCAGUCAUGGCUAAUUCCCAAACCCCCGGGGUUUGAUCUUGCUUAAUUACACCCUGUACACACACACACACACACACACACACACAUACACACAAACACACACAAGAGGCGCACGCACACGCUAACGCGGAGCGACGCAGCCUAAAAAUACACACGGAGUUAGCUUAUGAGCGCAGAGCGGGCUUAAUUACACAAGUGCUUGUGGUGAGGCCACAACCUGUGUGUGAAUCUGUUUGCCGGCGUGCGUUUGUGUGCAGCCGCUCCAAAGAUAAAAGGCCCGAUAGCAUUCGCCUUUUUUUUCCCCUUUUGAAUCAGGAAAUGAACAACUGCCAAAUGGCUGUGGACCCCCUCAAGGCUACUCAUUAUGGGGUUAAAAAGACACACACACACACACACACACACACACACACACACACACACACACACACACACACACACACACACACACACACACACACACAGCGCUGCUGCGUUUGAAGCCUCUGUGUCUUCUGACGCUCUUUCAAGCCUCUCUCUGUCUCUAACCCGGCCUCUCUGUGUCGGGGCAGGUCUCAGAUGAAAGAAAACCCAGAGACUUUUUGCACCUCGGGGGGAUUAAUCUUCUAACGAGCAUAUAAUCUCCGAUAAAUAACACUUUUGUCUUUAACGGGGUUAUUAACAGGUAGUCGCCUCAGUCGCGCCGGUUAGCGGCGGCGCCGCUCCUGUGUUGGACAAGUGAACAUAGCCUCGUUCCUUCAGUAGCAGAAUACAGCAAACGUCCUUAACAUUAAUAUCCCAAAGAUGAACUUCAAAGCAGGUCUGUGUUGAAAUGGACUGCAGCUCAACGUUGCACCAAAAUGUGACACGCUAAGAGGAGAUUACGUUUAGAGCCUGUACUUGAAAGCACCGCUCGCCGUAUGGAAAUUCCCAUCAGGUCAAAGAAGCACUUUUUUUUUUUUUUUUA